GUGAGGGUAAACAGUUUCAACGUUUGUGUUAACUAACUGUUAAAUUAAAGUUAAAUUAUAAGUAAGUAACCAUAGCGAAACAGUCUGUAAUGUAAACAGAGAUGGGUAAAUUAGAAGCCUAGUAUAAGUAGCGUGUACACCGCUUACCUUUUGUAUCAGGGAGGGUGGAAUAAGGUUUCAGAUGGAGACAUCCCGAAGGGAAUUGAUCUUGCAAAUGAGAGGUCAAAUGUUUCACUAUUUCCCUUAAUCACUUGCAAGUUGCGAUAAGUAAUGCGAACUUCCCGAUAUCUGGUUGCCUUCGGUGACCCCUUUAGGGGGAGAAUAGCAAGGUUAAGGGGAUAAGCUCGUAACCUAAGCUUAUGAUUAAAUUUUAGCUAACCGCUAAUAACAAGGAAUUUAUUGAAUUUCUGUAUCAUAGCCAUCACAUGCGGCGAUUUCAUAUAAUAAAGUGCUUGAAACUCACUAUCACCUUACGAGUAAGAUUAUUAACUAUAUUUAAGGAACUCGGCAAUAAGGGCCUGGACUGUUUACUAAAAACAUUUCCUUUCGGUAAAUUAUGCAAGGUAAGGCCUGCACACUGCUCAAUAGUAAAGUGCUGCGGUACUCUGACCGUGCUAAGGUAGCAUAAUAACUUGCCUUUUAAUUGGAGGCUAGAAUGAAUGGCCUAACCAGGGCCCAACUGUCUCAGUUGUACUGAUCUUAAACUACACUUUAAGUGAAAAUGCUUAAAUAUUUCAGAGGGACGAGAAGACCCUAUAGAUCUUGAAUUAUUUUCUUUAAAAUGUUGUGGAAAGUAAUUUUACCUGGGAAGGGGCUCAUAAACACUUUGUAAACUACGAGUUACUAGUCUAAUUAUUGAGGAUCCAGCACUAACGGCUGAAUUAGGAACAAGUUACCUUAGGGAUAACAGCGUAAUAAGCCUCCCCCAGACCCUAUGGGGUGAGGCGGCUUACGACCUCGAUGUUGAAUUAAGUUUACUCUCUCUCGCAGAAGAGAGGGAGUUCAGUCUGUUCGACUGUUAAUACUUACAUGAUUUGAGUUUAGACCGACGUGAGUCAGGUCAGAUUCUAUCUUCUGACUAAUUAAUCUUUCCUAGUACGAAAGGACUGGAAGGAUGGAUUCUUUCAUCCU
rnacentral:rRNA from 1 species